CAGUAGCCGCGGGAAUACGUAGGGUGCAAGCGUUAAUCGGAAUUACUGGGCGUAAAGCGUGCGCAGGCGGUUCGCUAAGACAGAUGUGAAAUCCCCGGGCUUAACCUGGGAACUUCAUUUGUGACUGGCGGGCUAGAGUAUGGCAGAGGGGGGUAGAAUUCCACGUGUAGCAGUGAAAUGCGUAGAGAUGUGGAGGAAUACCGAUGGCGAAGGCAGCCCCCUGGGCCAAUACUGACGCUCAUGCACGAAAGCGUGGGGAGCAAACAGGAUUAGAUACCCGAGUAGUCCCUGUCUCUUAUAC
rnacentral:rRNA from 1 species